GUACAUUUACAUGUAAUAAAAUUACCCCAGUAUGUUAAAAUGUAUUGCUGCAGAAAAUCAUGUGACAAACAGAGGAUUUUUCAAAUGAUUCAUAAUAACUCUAGUUUGAACAGACCAAUUUUCUUAAUCUGUAGGUCUUCAUCAUGAAGGUUAGGUUGUAGGUAUAAAGUAGAAAAUCAAAGAAUAUGGGGAAACCAUUGAUGACAAAAAAAUCAGUACACACACAACAAAAAGCAAAGAAACAGUGCUUUUAUUGCUGGUCUUCAUCUCAAACUCACAGUGAAGUCAUCAACACAGAGCAAAAAUAUGUGCAUGCUCACAAUUUUAAAUCUUGGCUCUCCCAUUUAAAGAAUCUGUAUGUUACAUGUAAUUUGUGAUAGUAUAGUAGGCAGGC
rnacentral:lncRNA from 1 species